UACGGAGGGGGACUAGCGUUGUUCGGAAUUACUGGGCGUAAAGCGCACGUAGGCGGAUUUGUAAGUCAGGGGGUGAAAUCCCGGGGCUCAACCUCGGAACUGCCUUUGAUACUGCAAAUCUCGAGUCCGGAAGAGGUGAGUGGAAUUCCUAGUGUAGAGGUGAAAUUCGUAGAUAUUAGGAAGAACACCAGUGGCGAAGGCGGCUCACUGGUCCGGUACUGACGCUGAGGUGCGAAAGCGUGGGGAGCAAACAGG
rnacentral:rRNA from 1 species